GAUGAACGCUGGCGGCGUGCCUAAUACAUGCAAGUCGAGCGAACAGAUGAGGAGCUUGCUCCUCUGACGUUAGCGGCGGACGGGUGAGUAACACGUGGAUAACCUACCUAUAAGACUGGGAUAACUUCGGGAAACCGGAGCUAAUACCGGAUAAUAUAUUGAACCGCAUGGUUCAAUAGUGAAAGAUGGUUUUGCUGUCACUUAUAGAUGGAUCCGCGCCGCAUUAGCUAGUUGGUAAGGUAACGGCUUACCAAGGCAACGAUGCGUAGCCGACCUGAGAGGGUGAUCGGCCACCCUGGAACUGAGACACGGUCCAGACUCCUACGGGAGGCAGCAGUAGGGAAUCUUCCGCAAUGGGCGAAAGCCUGACGGAGCAACGCCGCGUGAGUGAUGAAGGUCUUCGGAUCGUAAAACUCUGUUAUUAGGGAAGAACAAAUGUGUAAGUAACUAUGCACGUCUUGACGGUACCUAAUCAGAAAGCCACGGCUAACUACGUG
rnacentral:rRNA from 1 species